rnacentral:sRNA from 1 species
GCAUGUACAGCAAUCUCCUAUAACACAC